CUGGAUCUCUGACCAUCACAAACACCAGAAAACCACAGACUCUGGAGAUUAUAAACUAGAGAAAAACCGUAGCAGAAUCAGUAUUAUAAAGAUAUUCAGUCUUAUUGUCACUGCUGUUCCAGAUUCAGUUGCUGCUGUUGUUGUUGUUGUUGUUGUUGUCGUCUGCUGGUGGCUAUAGCUGCUGUCAUUUACUAUCGCCACAGGAAAUCUACACAAGAAAGACAAAAUGGCAAGCAUUACAUACAGCUGAUUUCACAAGAUGGAAAAUAAGAUCUAUUGUUAUCUUUAAAAAUGUAUUCUCAUUAA